CCGUGCUAAGUGGGGAGCUAGCGGUGCCCUGUACCCGGAAUCCGCUAUACCGGGGCUGAAUUCCCGCUAGAGGCCUGUCAGCGGCCGGGGCGAAAGUCUUAAGCGGUGUUGAUGGUCAGGUCCCGUGCAAUCCAUAGUUUCUGAACCCCGUCAGGACCGGAAGGUAGCAGCGGUAAGAAGCUCCCUGGAUGUGAUACGGGGUUGCUUGACCUGAGCUGGCUGGGGCUGACGGUCCGCGCUUGCGGGGCCGAUAGCGGGUGCACGG
rnacentral:SRP_RNA from 1 species